rnacentral:rRNA from 1 species
UAGCUAGUUGGUGGGGUAAUGGCUCACCAAGGCGACGAUGCGUAGCCGACCUGAGAGGGUGAUCGGCCACACUGGGACUGAGACACGGCCCAGACUCCUACGGGAGGCAGCAGUAGGGAAUCUUCCGCAAUGGACGAAAGUCUGACGGAGCAACGCCGCGUGAGUGAUGAAGGUUUUCGGAUCGUAAAGCUCUGUUGUUAGGGAAGAACAAGUGCGAGAGUAACUGCUCGCACCUUGACGGUACCUAACCAGAAAGCCACGGCUAACUACGUGCCAGCAGCCGCGGUAAUACGUAGGUGGCAAGCGUUGUCCGGAAUUAUUGGGCGUAAAGGGCUCGCAGGCGGUUUCUUAAGUCUGAUGUGAAAGCCCCCGGCUCAACCGGGGAGGGUCAUUGGAAACUGGGAAACUUGAGUGCAGAAGAGGAGAGUGGAAUUCCACGUGUAGCGGUGAAAUGCGUAGAGAUGUGGAGGAACACCAGUGGCGAAGGCGACUCUCUGGUCUGUAACUGACGCUGAGGAGCGAAAGCGUGGGGAGCGAACAGGAUUAGAUACCCUGGUAGUCCACGCCGUAACGAUGAGUGCUAAGUGUUAGGGGGUUUCCGCCCCUUAGUGCUGCAGCUAA